rnacentral:rRNA from 1 species
AUCUCCUACGGGGCGCAGCAGUGAGGAAUAUUGGUCAAUGGCCGAGAGGCUGAACCAGCCAAGUCGCGUGAGGGAUGACGGCCCUACGGGUUGUAAACCUCUUUUGUCGGGGAGCAAGACCCGCCUCGUGCAGGCGGAGCGAGAGUACCCGACGAAAAAGCAUCGGCUAACUCCGUGCCAGCAGCCGCGGUAAUACCGAGGAUGCGAGCGUUAUCCUGAUUUAUUGGGUUUA